rnacentral:rRNA from 1 species
AGCAGUAGCCACGGUAAUACGUAGGUGGCAAGCGUUAUCCGGAAUUAUUGGGCGUAAAGCGCGCGUAGGCGGUUUCUUAAGUCUGAUGUGAAAGCCCACGGCUCAACCGUGGAGGGUCAUUGGAAACUGGGAAACUUGAGUGCAGAAGAGGAAAGUGGAAUUCCAUGUGUAGCGGUGAAAUGCGCAGAGAUAUGGAGGAACACCAGUGGCGAAGGCGACUUUCUGGUCUGUAACUGACGCUGAUGUGCGAAAGCGUGGGGAUCAAACAGGAUUAGAUACCCCCGUAGUCCCUGUCUCUUAUAC